CAGCCGCCGCGGGAAUACGUAGGUGGCAAGCGUUGUCCGGAAUUGUUGGGCGUAAAGGGCUCGCAGGCGGUUUCCUAAGUCUGAUGUGAAAGCCCCCGGCUCAACCGGGGAGGGUCAUUGGAAACUGGGAAACUUGAGUGCAGAAGAGGAGAGUGGAAUUCCACGUGUAGCGGUGAAAUGCGUAGAGAUGUGGUGGAACACCAGUGGCGAAGGCGACUCUCUGGUCUGUAACUGACGCUGAGGAGCGAAAGCGUGGGGAGCGAACAGAAUUAGAUACCCCCGUAGUCCCUGUCUCUUAUAC
rnacentral:rRNA from 1 species